AGAAAUAAAAUAUAUAUAUACAAAAUAAAAUAAUAUAAAAGAUUUCCGGAGCAGUCCUCGUAUUUACUUGGGGAGUACUGCCAUCUGCCGGUAGUUAUCUGGCCCCAGCGUGUCAGCUGGUUUGCUGUCAAUGCCGUUUUCGUGUCGGACUGUAGGUUAAUUUCCACGUGCAGUGCUGUCUAGAAUGUAACAAAUUAAUUGAUGCGGGAUUGAGGGCUGCGCCACCCGAACGAGGUAACCAACAGAACCUGCGGGCCCCUUAUGGUUAACGUAGGCCGGAGCACUGUGCCCCAGGUUCAGGCAGGACGGGGCGACGGGAAGAUACUACGGAGGUGUACUUCGUAUAAAACCAGGAGUCACGCUCUGAUUUCGUUUUGAAGACACGGACAGGUAGGAACGUAUGGAGAGUAGCUGGUAAUCUUGCGGAAUACUUGUUGUGGAACUGGUCAGAGUAAUAAAGGGCUAACGGCAACACACUCAACACAGGGAACGACAGGGGUGCAGGUUAACAAAGGUUUUACAGGUACUGGAACGACGGUUAAGGGUACAAAUUAUAUAGGAAUAAAUCACAGGUAAAUAAGGCUGGUUAAUAGCAAAAGGCACUGGUAAAGAUAGAAGCAAAAGCAAAAGUUACAAACACUGGACUGACACAGGUAUAUAUAGCUUGGAGAUCUGGUGGGGAAGACGAUUAGGAGGGGCGAAAUUAAGUGGAAAUAUCUGGGGGAAAUCUCAUUUACUGGUUUGGGGCAGAUUAUUUCCUCACCCUUAAUUUCGUUUCCUCACAGGAUGAUACCUAACAAUAAUUUAAUUACUGGGUCACCGGAUUCAACUGGAUCAAUCUAGGGGUCAACGGUUUAAACUGGGCCACCGGGUCAAGAUGGGUCACCGAGUAAAGAUGGGUCACUGGGUCACCGG